GGAGUCUAGCAUGUGCGCGAGUCAUUGGGACACGAUUAAACCUAAAGGCGCAAUGAAAGUGAAGGCUCGCCUUGCGCGAGCCGAGGGAAGAUGGGCGUUCCGUGUUCUCGCGGUCGCCCCGCAUUCCCGGGGCGUCUCGUUCUCAUUGCGAGAAGAGGCGCACCAAGAGCGUACACGCUGGGACCCGAAAGAUGGUGAACUAUGCCUGGUCAGGACGAAGUCAGGGGAAACCCUGAUGGAGGUCCGUAGCGAUUCUGACGUGCAAAUCGAUCGUCGGAACUGGGUAUAGGGGCGAAAGACUAAUCGAACCAUCUAGUAGCUGGUUCCCUCCGAAGUUUCCCUCAGGAUAGCUGGCGCUCGUCGCCAACGAGUCUCAUCCGGUAAAGCGAAUGAUUAGAGGCAUUGGGGCCGAAACGGCCUCAACCUAUUCUCAAACUUUAAAUGGGUGAGAUCUCCGGCUUGCUCGAACCGAUGAAGCCGCGAGACUCGGAUCAGAGUGCCAAGUGGGCCAUUUUUGGUAAGCAGAACUGGCGCUGUGGGAUGAACCAAACGCCGAGUUAAAGCGCCUAAAUCGACGCUUAUGGGAUACCAUGAAAGGCGUUGGUAACUUAAGACAGCAGGACGGUGGCCAUGGAAGUC
rnacentral:rRNA from 1 species